UUCUUUUUCUUCUCUCCUCCCUUCUUCUUCUUCUUCUUUCUUCCCGAAGGUUCUUCGUCCCUCUUUCUUCUCCCGCGAAGGAAGAACAGCUCGGGAAAAAUGGGCAGCGGCCGACGGCGCCCGCCGGCCGGCCGAUAGCGCCCACGGCCGUGCCCGCGGCCGGCGGCCCGCGCCCCGCGGCCUGCGACCUGCGGCGGAGGUCGGCGCCCGCGGAUCGACCACCGGUGGUCGUCCGCCUCCUGCUCCAUCGAUGCGGCCAUCUGCUCCGGCGGCUUGGGUCUAACACCGGGUCCUGCCAACCGGGGAGGAUUGUGAGAGAGAGACGGUGGAGGGGAACAGAGAGAAGGCAGUGGUGAAGUGCUCCACCGAUCGAGGCUUCUUGUAGCCUCUGAUUGCUGGGAAAGACGGACGGUUGUAACCGCCCACCAUCAGGCAAUUACAAACGCCCGCCCUUUGGUGUGAUGGCCUCCCCCCGUUUCUCGCAGAAAGGGGAACGGUUAUCACAGUUCUCACCAUUGCCUAUGUCACUGGUAACAUCUUGUAGCUUUUUAGUUUCAGUUAUUGAGCAGGCAGUAGCUACAUCCGUAUACAUCUGGUUCAUGUGUAGAGAGGAUCCAGAAGUCUGAUGCGUAUAUGGAUUGAGUAGAUCCUGAUCGUUGUUAAGAAGUGACUAGAUGAGAAGUUUUAUUGGUUUGUAUGCAUUGAGAGAACGCGAUUUCACUUUCAGAAACUCUAAAGGAUAUCUCUUAAUGUACAUAUGAAUUUCAGAGAAACAAAAUGUUGACAUGUAGACCUCUCGAUCAGAAAGAAAGAUCUGAUUUAGAUCCAAAGAAUUAGCAACAAUGUCGAGACUUCUUUUUCUUUAGUUAAGUACUGCUGCUCAACAGAUUACUGUAUCUCAACAUCUCUUCAAACAUAGAACGACAUAGAGAUUGAAGCAAUCUUUCUGUAAAUAAAGGGCUUCCGAAAGCAGCUCA